rnacentral:rRNA from 1 species
UACGAAGGUGGCAAGCGUUGUUCGGAUUUACUGGGCGUAAAGCGCGCGUAGGCGGCUCGUUAAGUGUGGAGUGAAAUGCCGGGGCUCAACCCCGGAACUGCUUUACAUACUGGCGAGCUUGAGGGAUGCAGAGGUUUGUGGAAUUCCUGGUGUAACGGUGAAAUGCGCAGAUAUCAGGAGGAACACCGGUGGCGAAGGCGGGUCUCUGGGCCGAUACUGACGCUGAGGAGCGAAAGCGUGGGGAGCGAACAGG